rnacentral:rRNA from 1 species
UGGGGAAUAUUGGACAAUGGGGGGAACCCUGAUCCAGCCAUGCCGCGUGUGUGAAGAAGGCCUUAUGGUUGUAAAGCACUUUAAGCGAGGAGGAGGGUACUGGUAUUAAUACUACCAGCUACUGGACGUUACUCGCAGAAUAAGCACCGGCUAACUCUGUGCCAGCAGCCGCGGUAAUACAGAGGGUGCGAGCGUUAAUCGGAGUUACUGGGCGUAAAGCGUGCGUAGGCGGCUAAUUGAGUCGGAUGUGAAAUCCCCGAGCUUAACUUGAGAAUUGCAUUCGAUACUGGUUAGCUAGAGUGUGGGAGAGGAUGGUAGAAUUCCAGGUGUAGCGGUGAAAUGCGUAGAGAUCUGGAGGAAUACCGAUGGCGAAGGCAGCCAUCUGGCCUAACACUGACGCUGAGGUGCGAAAGCAUGGGGAGCAAACAGG